AAGUCGUAACAAGGUUUCCGUAGGUGAACCUGCGGAAGGAUCAUUAUCGUUAGGGCUUUCCGGCCCUUGAUCGAGAUAGAACCCUUGCCUUUAUGAGUACCGUCCGUUUCCUCGGCAGGCCCGCCUGCCGAUGGACCCAAAACCAAACCCUUUUAUUACCUGUAUCAGUCUGUAAAAAUAAAUCAAAAAUUAAAA
rnacentral:misc_RNA from 1 species